rnacentral:rRNA from 1 species
CCUACGGGGGACAGCAGUGAGGAAUAUUGGUCAAUGGACGCAAGUCUGAACCAGCCAUGCCGCGUGCAGGAAGACGGCUCUAUGAGUUGUAAACUGCUUUUGUACGGGGGUAAACGCAGAUACGCGUAUCUGUCUGAAAGUAUCGUACGAAUAAGGAUCGGCUAACUCCGUGCCAGCAGCCGCGGUAAUACGGAGGAUUAGAGCGGUAUCCGGAUUGAUUGGGUUUAAAGGGAGCGUAGGCGGUCGGAUAAGUUAGAGGUGAAAUCCCGGGGCUCAACUUGGGAAUUGCAUCUGAUACUGUGCGGCUAGAGAGUAGUAGGGGUAGGCAGAAUGUAUGGUGUAGCGGUGAAAUGCUUAGAGAUGA